rnacentral:lncRNA from 1 species
AUUGCAUAAUGCAGUAGCAACUGGAUUUGCAGCAGAAACACCCUGCUAAAGAACAAGUAUCUUGGUUCACAGCAAAGAGGACAAAGGAAAACAGCAAGUUCUAGGGAGUUGAAUGCUGGAUUAAAUCGCCUAUGGGGUAGACAUAGAAAACUCAUUAUUUAAUGUUUUAGCAUUUGGUGGACAUCUUAAUAAAGCUAAAGCACCCUAAAAAUAGCUUGGAAAGAAAGGAAUUAUUAAUGGCUUGUAGUAGAUACCUAGCUAGCUCACAAAAAUAAAGAAGACACUGUGAAAUAAAAAAGCAUGUAGCUAGUUUUUUUAUUUUCAUUUUUUGAAAUAGUAAUGGAUAAAAGUCAAGAUUGAUGUCCUAAUCUUAAUUUUAGUAAGACUGUAAAGAACUCUUACAUAAAUUUCAAAUCAUCUAUCUAUUUAAAGAUAUUUUAUAUGUUCAGAGUAUAAAUAAUCUGUAUCUAUUAGUGAGUAUGUUGCUUCUGAUAUUUAUUCUGGGUAUACAUUAAAUCAUAAAUGUUUCUUAAUUUUACAAUGCAAAUAUUUAUCAUUACUAAACAACCUAAUAUUAAUUUGUUUGUUAAUUUAAAAUGAAAUUUCCAAAAAAAUCCUAAUGAUACCUUUUUUAGAAUGGCCUAAUCUUUUCAUUGGAGCCUAUCACCUGUUUAUCAUGUCAAUUGGUCUAGCUAUUUUUUAAUACACUGAAUUUCAGAAUUGAGAUAUAAAUAGUUUGGAAUCUGAAAAGGCAUUUAAACUAAAAAACUUUCUCACCAGAAUCUAAGGUAAAAACAUGAUACAGCUUUUUAUUUUAUCUAAGGUAACAAGCUAGAACAUUUUGAUAGAACUAUGGCCCUUCCACCCCCUCUAUCCAUAUGCUUCAAAAUCAUUCCAAAAUAUCAGCAGACAUUUAACAUGCUACAAAACUUCACUGACUAAAUUCCAUGUUAAAAACCAAGAGAAAGACCCAAAUAAUAUGUUAAGUCUUUUGAAACUUUUAAGUUACUGUUGAAAAUGGAGAGCAAGGUAGAAGUCAUGGCCAUGUUUUUGAUAAGCACUUAAAUGCAGUUGAACUCCACAUCAUAUUCCAGCAUGAGCCAUUUGUAGGAGACUCAAAAUCUUGAAAUAGCUUUAAAAAAACAGAAUGUAGUAUACAGUAUUUGUAUAGAAUCUGUAUAAAGAUAAAAACUAGUUCUUGCAUUGUAGGCUAUGUCUACCAAACUAGCUAAUGUGAUAUUUCUUUUAUACUGGGAAAUAAUUUUUUGUGUGUUUGUGUGAAUUUAACAAAUUUUUAUUGACUUUAUUGACACAAACUCUUGACUACACAUAAUGAAAUCU